AGGUGGGAUCCCGGCCCCCCCCCGGGGUCGGGCGCACCACCGGCCCGUCUCGCCCGCACCGUCGGGGAGGUGGAGCGUGAGCGCAUGCGAUAGGACCCGAAAGAUGGUGAACUAUGCCUGGGCAGGGC
rnacentral:rRNA from 1 species